AUUUGAAUCAGUAUAUCAUUUAAUGAGUUAGUUAAUAAAUGUGACCUAAGCUUAUACGAAGUGUUGUUCUAUCAGUCAUGUCAUUAAGUGUGUAUUCUGUGCGGUUAGAAACAUUUCAUGCUUUUAGCUUUCUCAAUACGCCAUAAUCUUAUCACUUAUCUGGUAAAUUUGGGGUUAGAGAGGAGAUAUCUGCGUGAAUUUUACCGUGAUCGUUUUUUUAAAGCAUUUAAAAAAAAAAAUAAGGGGAAAUUUCCUGAAUUUGAACUUAUGAUCCAAGCCUCCUCAAGCCGACAUUC